rnacentral:rRNA from 1 species
UACGAGGGGGGCGAGCGUUGUUCGGAAUUAUUGGGCGUAAAGGGUGCGUAGGCGGUUUGGUAAGUCUUAUGUGAAAUCUAUGGGCUCAACUCAUAGUCUGCAUGAGAAACUGCCGGGCUUGAGUAUGGGAGAGGUGAGUGGAAUUCCUGGUGUAGCGGUGAAAUGCGUAGAUAUCAGGAGGAACACCUGUGGCGAAAGCGGCUCACUGGACCAUAACUGACGCUGAUGCGCGAAAGCUAGGGGAGCAAACAGG